rnacentral:rRNA from 1 species
CCCGCUGAACUUAAGCAUAUCAAUAAGCGGAGGAAAAGAAACUAACAAGGAUUCCCCUAGUAACUGCGAGUGAAGCGGGAAAAGCUCAAAUUUAAAAUCUGGUGGCCUUCGGCCAUCCGAGUUGUAAUUUAGAGAAGCGUCUUCCGCGCUGGACCGUGCACAAGUCUCCUGGAAUGGAGCGUCGUAGAGGGUGAGAAUCCCGUCUUUGGCACGGACGCCCAGCGCUUCUGUGAUGCGCUCUCGAAGAGUCGAGUUGUUUGGGAAUGCAGCUCAAAAUGGGUGGUGAACUCCAUCUAAAGCUAAAUAUUGGCGAGAGACCGAUAGCGAACAAGUACCGUGAGGGAAAGAUGAAAAGCACUUUGGAAAGAGAGUGAAACAGUACGUGAAAUUGUUGAAAGGGAAACGCUUGAAGUCAGUCGCGUCCGCCGAGACUCAGCCUCGCUCCGGCUUGGUGUAUUUCUCGGUCGACGGGUCAGCAUCAAUUUUGCCCCUCGGAUAAUGGCAAGGGAAAGGUGGCACCUUUGCGGGUGUGUUAUAGUCUUUUGUCGCAUGCGAGGGGCGAGAUUGAGGAUCUCAGCACGCGCACCUUUGGGUGUGUCGGGGCCUCGGCCCACGCCACGUGCUUAGGAUGCUGGCAUAAUGGCUUUAAACGACCCGUCUUGAAACACGG